rnacentral:rRNA from 1 species
AAUUCGAUUAGAGUUUGAUCCUGGCUCAGAUUGAACGCUGGCGGCAUGCCUUACACAUGCAAGUCGAACGGCAGCACGGGAGCUUGCUCCUGGUGGCGAGUGGCGAACGGGUGAGUAAUACAUCGGAACGUACCCAGGAGUGGGGGAUAACGUAGCGAAAGUUACGCUAAUACCGCAUAUUCUGUGAGCAGGAAAGCGGGGGAUCGCAAGACCUCGCGCUCUUGGAGCGGCCGAUGUCGGAUUAGCUAGUUGGUGAGGUAAAAGCUCACCAAGGCGACGAUCCGUAGCAGGUCUGAGAGGAUGAUCUGCCACACUGGGACUGAGACACGGCCCAGACUCCUACGGGAGGCAGCAGUGGGGAGUUUUGGACAAUGGGGGCAACCCUGAUCCAGCCAUGCCGCGUGAGUGAAGAAGGCCUUCGGGUUGUAAAGCUCUUUCGGCGGGGAAGAAAUGGCAACGGCUAAUAUCCGUUGUUGAUGACGGUACCCGCAUAAGAAGCACCGGCUAACUACGUGCCAGCAGCCGCGGUAAUACGUAGGGUGCGAGCGUUAAUCGGAAUUACUGGGCGUAAAGCGUGCGCAGGCGGUUUCGUAAGACAGACGUGAAAUCCCCGGGCUCAACCUGGGAACUGCGUUUGUGACUGCGAGGCUAGAGUACGGCAGAGGGGGGUAGAACUCCACGUGUAGCAGUGAAAUGCGUAGAGAUGUGGAGGAAUACCGAUGGCGAAAGGCAGC